GUAGUCAUAUGCUUGUCUCAAAGAUUAAGCCAUGCAUGUCUAAGUAUACGCAAUUAUACCGUGAAACUGCGAAUGGCUCAUUAAAUCAGUUAUCGUUUAUUUGAUAGUACCUUACUACCUGGAUAACUGUGGUAAUUCUAGAGCUAAUACAUGCUAAAAACCUCGACUUCGGAAGGGGUGUAUUUAUUAGAUAAAAAACCAAUGCCCUUCGGGGCUCCUUGGUGAUUCAUAAUAACUUAACGAAUCGCAUGGCCUUGCGCCGGCGAUGGUUCAUUCAAAUUUCUGCCCUAUCAACUUUCGAUUGUAAGGUAGUGGCUUACAAUGGUUUCAACGGGUAACGGGGAAU
rnacentral:rRNA from 1 species